rnacentral:lncRNA from 1 species
AUGGAGUUUCACUCUUAUGGCCCAGGCUGGAGUGCAAUGGCGUGAUCUCAGCUCACCACAACCUCUGCCUCCCGGGUUCAAGUGGUUCUCCUACCUCAGCCUCCUGAGUAGCUGCGAUUACAGAUACAUAGCUCUGGCCAAGAAGUGUGGUUUUGAAGAGCCCAAACUGUAUCUGUUACCUGAUUUCAAAGAAUAUUCCACCUAGGAGAGACCCAGGUCCUGCAGACUUCCUCUGGACACUUUUGGCAGUCAUUGUUCCCAGCUGAUUCUGCAACAGAUGAAGGACGGAGGAUAGAAUCAUGAAUAGCAACAUCUUAAUUGCUGACUGGUGUUGAUUCUAAGGAUACCCCCAAUAAACAUCUUUCGUGCUAAAGCCCAUUCCAGAAUUUACUUCCCAGCUAUCUUUGAUGUUCAUAUUGUCAGAGGUGGUGGCCGCUGAAACAGGCAAAGACAUGGAGCAUAUCUUGGGUCCAGGUAAAGGAGGUGGGUGCACACAAGUGAAAAGAUGUUGCUGAAGUCACGUGGCUUCAAGCAGUAGAGCUGACUGUCCUCUAGUCCAGUUGUCCCUACAGGAUAAAAGCUUCUCUCCAUUACAGAGACCUUGGGAGUCCAGAGGAAGGUCUUUUUACCAUCAGCAUUCUCUACUGUGUUCAAUGACUGUCAGCCAAAGAUGGCCAGCUUUCCUUCAGAAAGAAAUGCAUUCAAAGAACCUACAUUCACAACAUAAAGAAAUAAAGCCUGCACCUACAGAUCUACACACAUGCCCAUGCACAUGCAGGAAGUGUUCAUCUAAGACUGGACCUUUUAGAAGAAAGCUGGCAUACAUUCGUGAAGGCAUGGGCUUCCAGGCAUGUCAUCUUCACUCACGAAGCACACACAAGACCGCCAAGCAUUAAGAUUCUCCUGUGGAGCCAGGCUACAAUCCUUUAAAUGAAGACAGACAGCUAGGUGGCUGCAGCCCAGCGCUACACCUCACCCCUCCCUCAGUGUCAUGCAGAAAAAAUGUAUUCAGAACUCAGAAGUGAAGUUGUGCAAAUCCAUCAUUGACACUAGCUUCAAGGUUACCUCGGGGGAGCAGAAUGUACCCCUGCCAGAGAGCUGGAUAGAUGAUGAUGGGGACAGAAAUUCUGGGGGAGUUGUAAAUGGCAGCCACUGCCUCUAUAGGAAACCCAAAGGGAACACAGCAGAAGAGGAGGUGGUGGAGGAGCCACUGCCCUCUCGAAGGGUUCAAUGUCAUUCUGCAGACACAACCAAAUAACUUUUUCUUCCCUGCUGCUCCUCCAUUUGAAAUGACAGCCCCGAGCUCGCUUUUUCCUUGAUUGUGUAACUCUGAUUACAGACAAGGCCAAGGCAAUCCCAGGGCAUUACUACAAAGCUAAGGGGUCCCCAAAGAACUAAAGAGUCAGCUCCACAAAAAUCCCGAUUCCUAGCAUGAAACUGAAAUAUGAAACCAAACGGGCAUAGAAAAGGUAUGUGCAUUCGAAUCACAUAGCAGUGACUGGAGUCCUGAGCUGUGUCUGAAGACUGUGAGAUCACGUUUGGAGCUGCUGAUUGGUUUUCAGUGAUGGCCCUGUUGCACAGUGCCGUGAGACUUAGCUCCAUGGCCAAAGACGAUGGUAUCCCCUAGGAGCCCUGUGAGGUUGCUGCUGUUCUCUUAAGACACCAGGUAGCCAUCUGAUCCUCCCUGAGCAAACUAACUGGGCAGACAGGUUUAUUAAACCUCUGUUGGUCCGACUUACAUGAAACAAGAGAGUUAUUUUGUUGUUGUUGUUUUGUUUUGUUUUAAAUUAAACCUGUCUUUGGAGCCUCCUGCUCUUAGUUUACAAGUCUUCUUUGCACACUCUAAUAUUUUAAGAAGCAGCAAACAUUAACUGAGGGUCUA